UAGAGGGCUCGUCAUGGCACCACUUGGACUAAAAGCUAUUGUCGGAGAGAAGAUAAUGAACAAUAUCAUCAAGAAGGCAAGAGAAAAGGGAAAAUGGAAGGUGUUGGUGGUGGACAGACUGAGUAUGAGGAUGAUUUCCUCCUGCUGUAAGAUGACAGACAUCAUGUCAGAAGGAAUCACCAUUGUAGAAGACAUAACCAAGCAGCGUGAGCCUCUACCCAGCAUGGAAGCCAUCUAUCUGAUCACACCCUCAGAAGAGUCCGUUGAGGGUUUAAUUGAUGACUUCAGAGACCCGCGGGCUCCGAAGUACCGAGCAGCUCACGUCUUCUUCACUGACUCAAUCCCAGACUCCUUGUUUGGGCUGCUGACAAAAUCCCGUGCCUCCAAAGCCAUGAAAGCCUUGACUGAGAUCCACAUUGCUUUUCUACCCUAUGAAUCUCAGGUCUUCUCCCUGGAUAAUGUGGAUGCCUUUCAGGACUUCUACAGCCCGUUUAAGGCUGAUGUGAAGAAUAACAUGCUGGAACGUUGCGCUGAGCAGAUUGCCACGCUCUGUGCCACACUCAAAGAGUAUCCUGGAGUCCGAUACAGAGGGGAGUACGAGGACUGUGCAGUUCUAGCCCAGAUGCUUCAGGAGAAGCUGGAUGGCUACAAGGCUGAUGACCCCACCAUGGGAGAGGGUCCAGAUAAGUCUCUUACUCAGCUGCUCAUUUUGGAUCGUGGCUUUGAUCCUGUGUCACCUCUCCUGCAUGAGCUUACACUGCAGGCUAUGGCCUACGACCUGCUGGGCAUUGAGAACGAUGUCUACAGGUUUGAGACCAGUGGGAUAGGAGAGACGAGAAUGAAGGAGGUAUUGUUGGAUGAGGAUGAUGACCUGUGGCUGAGCCUGAGACACAAACACAUUGCUGAGGUGUCAGCGGCUGUGACUCGAUCCCUGAAAGAAUUCUCUGCUAGCAAAAAGAUGAGCACUGGAGAAAAGGCCACCAUGAAGGAGUUGUCUCAGAUGCUGAAGAAGAUGCCUCAGUAUCAGAAAGAGCUCAGCAAGUAUUCGACCCAUCUCCACCUGGCUGAGGACUGUAUGAACCGCUACCAGGGCACUGUGGACAAACUCUGUCGUGUAGAACAGGAUCUGGCAAUGGGCACAGAUGCAGAGGGAGAGAAGAUCAAGGAUCCUAUGAGGCUCAUUGUACCUGUUUUACUGGAUGCCAAUGUCAGUGUGUUUGACAAAAUCCGCAUCAUCCUGCUCUACAUAUUCCUUAAGAAUGGGGUGACUGAGGAGAAUCUGUGUAAGCUCCUUCAGCAUGCCAACAUUCCGCCAGAGGAUAGUGACAUCAUUUCCAACAUGGCCCACAUGGGCGUUCCUAUUGUCUCUGAGGGUACUGCCAAGAAAGCCAAGAGGUCUGAGCGUAAGGAGCGAAGCAGUGAGCAGACGUACCAGCUCUCCAGGUGGACCCCUCUUGUCAAGGAUCUCAUUGAGGAUGCCAUUGAAGACAAACUUGACCCCAAGCAGUACCCAUACAUUUCCCAACGACAAGCAUCUGCCAAGGCCAGUGCUCCAUCAAGUGCUCGCUAUGGUAACUGGCACAAGAACAGGGGCCCCACAGAGAUGAAGAUGGGGCCCAGGGUCAUUGUCUUUAUUAUUGGAGGGAUGACGUACAGUGAGAUGCGCUGUGUAUAUGAGGUCACCCAGGCCAAUGGCAAGUGGGAGGCCCUCAUUGGUUCUACUCACAUUCUCACUCCCCCUAAGUACCUAAAGGGACUACAGCACCCAGACCUCUUGGACCCUAAUGCCCCAUCAGAGGGCAGAGAGGAGCUGACUGCAGAGUGAAAAGACGUUUGGACGUAAAUACAGAACUCACAAUGUGAUUUAUGAAUCCCUGUGCUCCCCCACCAAUCCAUCCACCCACCCAGCGUCUUACCUUUGAUCCACCCAACCAUCCUUGCAGCAUUUCUUUGUCAGUGAUUUUCACUGAAUCUCAAAUGCUGCCAUAUUCUUUGACACUGACACUGAUCCUUCUAUCUCAUAUUUGUACCUCGAAGGAAUAUGAUCAACUGAAAUCUCCACCCCUUCUUGUCUUCUUAAAUCUCUGACUUGGAGAAAGAAGAACAGACCAGUUAGAAAGCUCCUGUAGUACUCCCUCCUCAACCCUCAUGCAGUAGUGACACCAGACUGUGACUUCCCCUCUCUCCUUAUUGCACUAUACAUGAACCAUAUGCUUGCUGCUGUAUAUGGUUCAGGUGCAGUUAACUUAUAAACCAAUCUGUGUUUUAAAUCACUAACAAGAGACUGAAUUUAUGUGCAUUGUUGUUCACUGUAUGCUGUGGGAUGUUCUAUUUCUUUGGAAAAGUAAUAUAUAUUGUGUAUGAAUUAGUUUAGAUGACUGUAUGAGAACUGAUGAUCGUUUUCAUUAGAGACAGAUAGAUUUGACACAUUAUCUGUGUGUUAACUUCAUCUCUCUCCUAUCAAUACACCUUUCUCUUUUAUUUUUUGGAGCCUGCCAGUUUUUAAUGUAGUGCUUGCCAUACAGUAGCAAUCAUGCCAUACUGUACAAGUCAGAUUUACAGUGAUGUGUGACAUUGAAAAUGACAACAUUUGUGUCAGUCUGAUGAUAUACACAGUAUAGUUGAGUUGGAUUUUCUGUUGUGUAUUGUCUCAAUACUCUGCAGUGUUGUUUGGCAACAUACUUUUGUCCUGUAGAGGCUCAGUUUCCUUUUGUUUCCCUGUGUUUGACCAUAAUGUUUUCAUUGGUUGUUGUUACAUAUAUGAAUAUUUUCUGGAAAUAGUAAUCCACUGUGUAUGAAAACAGGUCAGUAAUAUAACAAGUCUGUGCUUUCAUGUCCACAUCCAUGAAUGACACUUGCUGCAGAGUGUGUUACGUGAAUAAAGCG